AGUGUCUGCAGAGAGAAUCACAAACGCAUGAGUCCCCAGUCACUAGCGGUGAGUCGAUGUCCGGCAAAUAAUCACAGAAACAGAGCACUGCACGUGACCACUGCCGCACGGCAAGGCACAAAUGAGCAGGUGUGUCCAAGAGCUCCCGGCACCGCCCCCCCCCCCCCCCCCCCCCCCCCCGUGCACAGGUACAUACAUAAAACACAGGCUAGUCAGGCACAGCGGGUGCCUUCCUCCCUCCAGGCUGUGGCUUAGCAACCUCCCACCUGCCUCCAGCCUCUCCUGUCUCCAAUCCACUCUUGUUGGCCAGAUCUGUCUAACUAGCAUGUAAAGUUUGAUCAUGUUCCUUUCCUACUUAAAUUUAUUUCAUGGUUCUCAACAACCUGUUUACCAAAAAUCCAAGUCUUUCCCACAGGAUUCGAGGCCAUGUGGAAUUUGGACCCAGUUUACCUUUCCCAGUUCACUUUUACAAGUAGUUUCCUUCUAUUCUCCUACCACAGGUCCCAGACAAGCCAAACUGAACACACUCCUAGAACACGGCAAGCCGUUCCCCACUCCCAAGCCUAUGUUCCCACUUUCCUGCCUGCCCGAAAUGCCUUUUUCCCGCCACAGUGCCUAGGGAGUAACCUCACCCCUCACAGCUCCGCUGAAGUACCACACCUUUCUAGCAAGCAUCUCUGAUGAGAAGGGAAGUCAGUCAUCCCUUCUCUAGAAAAAGUCCAGAGCAAAGGUUCUGGAACCAGAAUGCCUGGGAUAAAGCCCCAGCCUCGCCAUAUUCCACAUGUCUGACAAUGGGCAAGUUAACUGACUUCUUUAUAUAUCCAGUUCCUAAUCUGUGAAAUGGGAGUAAAAUAUCUUGAGUACAGAGCUAUUGCCAGCAGCUCGCUCCACGCCGGUGUCUUCCUCACUCCUCCUUCCCACUCGCCAAACACACCAGCAGCUCAGGAGGCUGCAAGGGCUGCCCGCCGUCCCGGGGUAAGGCCUUAAUCCGUCAUUGAAGACCGACCAUGGUCUGACUUCCCCCAACACCUUCAAGAUCAUUUCCAUUUCCAGCUACACUGCCCCAUACAGCUGCUAUAUUCUUUAGACACUGGGCCUCCAGGUGUGUUUUUUAUUCUGUACUUUGCCCCCUGGCUUGAUGCAAACCUGUUUUUUCUUUAAAAGCCAGCUCAAGCCUCACUCCUCCAUGAAUCCCCCCCGCCCCCAGCCCCAACUAUUCUCGGCUUUGGUGGGCAACAUACUUCCACGGGGCGCUGAGAGGUAAGAGUACUGGACUCGGAGACAGCACUGUAUGCACAGUGGUCCUAGCUCUGUCAGUUAUCACGUUCACCAAGCUAUCUGGCUUCUCAGAAACUUUAUCGCUUAACAUAAGAUAGGAACAGUUACUCAUUUCACAAAUAUUAAUUAUAUUCCUAUCACCUACAAAGAAUUAUGCCAAGGGCCCACUCCAGGUGACACAUAGAAUUAACCAUCACAUGUAUGCUUAAAGAAUACAAAGAUGCAUAGAACACGUUCCGGAUCCAAAGGAGCUUAUAAUUUAUUAGAAGAAAUAGGAAAUGUAUACAAACAUGCUACACACAAGAAAGUGAUGUCACAGGUCUAAAAGAAAUCACUAAAUAUUAAUGUAGAAGGUCUAGUAAUUCAAAAGCUAACGCAUGUUUUAGCUGAAACUACUCACUCGAUGCUUAAACGUUUUAAGUUCAACAUUCUCUCUCUUACCCUUAGUCUGGCUGAUAAGCGUCCGAAGUUCCCAACUUCUUCGAGCUGACCCACUUGAAUCACCUUUUGGAUAUGCUGGUUCUGCAGGAAGUAUGUUUUUCACACAAGUUAAGAUUUACGACACAGACACAGCUGAUGUAAUUGAGAGCAGGACUGAAGUGGCAUCAACAGUGGAAGCCGGUGAAGUGAGGCGGAGGAUUCAGCCGGUCGGGGUCACAGCCAAGGCCUCACACUCACCAUCGCGCUCCUCGGUGGGGCUUGAGUGGCGGCUCAAGGACCGAAACUGUAACUCCGCAGCUAUGGAGGCCAGCCGGUCGUUCUCAGGGACGCUGGAACCCCUGUUUCGGUAUUUUUAAAAAUUCAGCUGUCAAUUCAAUGGAACUGCAAGUGAAAGCUCCGUGAGAUUCUUCUAGAGCGGUGAUUCUCAACUAGGGGUAAUUUCUCCCGCUGGGGACACUGGCAUCUAGCGAGUAGAGGAUAAUGCAAAGGACGGCCCCAGAUAACGAAUUAUGCACCCGGAACAACAGUGCUGCUACUGAGAAACCCUUCCUAGAGCUGGGAAGUCAGUCGGAUUUUUAUCCUCCACUGCUGACACAUGAGAACCUGACUGUGUUACACUGUUUUAAGUUAAAAACAGCAAAAAUAAAACCAAAAGAGUAUUUAUUGAACUGCUAUUGACUUGUGUAGAAAGCUCCAUCAUUUCAGCCCAAGAUGGAUAAAAAUUAUUAGUCAAACUGGCUAAUAUUUAAAAUUAUGAUCAUACUAUAUAUUUAUGGGCUUAAUUCCAUUUAAAAUGUAAAAUUAUUACAUGAUUCAAAGAUUUCAAACCUCCUAAUAAGAAAAUGGAAGGAAACACCUAGUGACUUUUUAAGCAGUAGCCAAGCAAAGGUGCAGGACAGCAGGAAGCUUAGCACGGAAAGAACAAGGUUAAUUUGCUGCUUCUCCAGAAUAAAGUGAAGUGUGUUUAGAAAUCCAGAAUGAAUCCAAAAAGAGUAAAGCCCAGAAUUAAAUAAGGGCAGUGUUAAAACUGUAAUUCAAACAAUCCACACUAAAUAUGGCAUUAGUUUAUUAACAAGUUUAGUAUUUUGUACACGAAUGAUAUUGUGAAGUAUGGUAGCAUUUAUGCUCUUUUUCAUGAUAUGCUGAAUGGAUUUAAGGCGACGUGGUCUACUAAACACAUGUUCACAAAUGACGCCGUAGGCAAUGCUUUUUUAUUUCCCUAAACUCUCAAAUCCAGUGUAACACUUGUAAGUCUGAAGAGUGGGGGGCAUCCUCUGUGCCAUGUAGCUCAUCAGAGAGUCCUGACACCAUCUCCUGGGAACAGCACUGAUGCUGAAGUAAAGAAACACACGACUCCUAAACCAAGGACACGUCACUCAGCACGCCUCUGUUCCUGAUUUCCCAGACAUGAAAUCAGCCGAUUCCACACCCUCAGAGAUCUUUGCUAGGGCAAAAGGCAAAAAAAUAUCCUUAAAUGAGGUAGCGUGCCGGUGAACGUCUCACUACCC